AUUGAACGCUGGCGGCAGGCCUAACACAUGCAAGUCGAGCGGAUGAAGGGAGCUUGCUCCUGGAUUCAGCGGCGGACGGGUGAGUAAUGCCUAGGAAUCUGCCUGGUAGUGGGGGAUAACGUCCGGAAACGGGCGCUAAUACCGCAUACGUCCUGAGGGAGAAAGUGGGGGAUCUUCGGACCUCACGCUAUCAGAUGAGCCUAGGUCGGAUUAGCUAGUUGGUGGGGUAAAGGCCUACCAAGGCGACGAUCCGUAACUGGUCUGAGAGGAUGAUCAGUCAAAGUGGGAGUGAGACACGGUCGAGCGUCCGACGGUAGGAAGCGGUGGGAAAUAUAGGACGUAGGAGUGCAGCUUGAGCCAGGAGUGGGGCGUGUGGGAAGAAGUUCUGAGGUUUGUAAAGCGUUUUAAGUGGGGAGGAAGGGAAGUAAGUGACUACCGUGCUAUUUUGCCGUUAACAACAGAAUGGGCACCGGCUAACUCCGUGCAAGCGGCCGCGGUAAUAGAUCGGAGAACACACGUCAAAC
rnacentral:rRNA from 1 species